UUCAUUCGGUUGUCCAAGUGCUAACUUAC
rnacentral:piRNA from 1 species